GGGGAACUGCUUGGCAAACUGCUGUCCUUGAGGCAGGUAGGGGUGCAUGGAACUCUAGGUGGAGCGGUGAAAUGCGUAGAUAUCUAGAGGAACGCCAGUAGUGAAAACGGUGCACUGGGCCUGUUCUGACGCUGAGGCGCGAAAGCGUGGGGAGCGAACGGGAUUAGAUACCCCGGUAGUCCACGCUGUAAACGAUGCCUAGUAUGUCGUGACGGUUCUGACGCCGGCGCGGCCGCAGCAAAAGUCCUAAGUAGGCCGCCUGGGGAGUACGGUCGCAAGGCUAAAACUCAAAGGAAUUGACGGGGGCUCACACAAGCGGUGGAGCAUGUGGCUUACUUCGAAGCAACGCGAAGAACCUUAUCCUGGGUUUGACAUGAUUGGAUGCCUGCCCUGAAAGGGGUCAGGCUGCCUUCGGGUGAAACUUUCACAGGUGCUGCAUGGCGGUCGUCAGCUCGUGUCGUGAGAUGUCGGGUUAAGUCCCUCAACGAGCGUAACCCUUGUCGCUAGUUGCCAGCGGGUCAUGCCGGGUACUCUAGCGAGACUGCCGGUGUUAAACCGGAGGAAGGUGGGGAUGACGUCAAGUCCUCAUGGCCUUUAUGCCCAGGGCUACACACGUACUACAAUGGCCGGAACAGAGGGCAGCAAGCUCGCGAGAGCAAGCAAACCCCUUAAAUCCGGUCCCAGUUCGGAUUGGAGUCUGCAACUCGACUCCAUGAAGUCGGAAUCGCUAGUAAUCGCGGAUCAGCAGGCCGCGGUGAUACGUUCUCGGGCCUUGUACACACCGCCCGUCACACCACGAGAGUCAACUGCACCAGAAGUCGUUAGGCUAAUCCC
rnacentral:rRNA from 1 species